rnacentral:rRNA from 1 species
AUGCAAGUCGAACGAUGAAGCCCAGCUUGCUGGGUGGAUUAGUGGCGAACGGGUGAGUAACACGUGAGUAACCUGCCCUUAACUCUGGGAUAAGCCUGGGAAACUGGGUCUAAUACCGGAUAGGAGCGUCCACCGCAUGGUGGGUGUUGGAAAGAUUUAUCGGUUUUGGAUGGACUCGCGGCCUAUCAGCUUGUUGGUGAGGUAAUGGCUCACCAAGGCGACGACGGGUAGCCGGCCUGAGAGGGUGACCGGCCACACUGGGACUGAGACACGGCCCAGACUCCUACGGGAGGCAGCAGUGGGGAAUAUUGCACAAUGGGCGAAGCCUGAUGCAGCGACGCCGCGUGAGGGAUGACGCCUUCGGGUUGUAAACCUCUUUCAGUAGGGAAGAAGCGAAAGUGACGGUACCUGCAGAAGAAGCACCGGCUAACUACGUGCCAGCAGCCGCGGUAAUACGUAGGGUGCGAGCGUUAUCCGGAAUUAUUGGGCGUAAAGAGCUCGUAGGCGGUUUGUCGCGUCUGUCGUGAAAGUCCGGGGCUUAACCCCGGAUCUGCGGUGGGUACGGGCAGACUAGAGUGCAGUAGGGGAGACUGGAAUUCCUGGUGUAGCGGUGGAAUGCGCAGAUAUCAGGAGGAACACCGAUGGCGAAGGCAGGUCUCUGGGCUGUAACUGACGCUGAGGAGCGAAAGCAUGGGGAGCGAACAGGAUUAGAUACCCUGGUAGUCCAUGCCGUAAACGUUGGGCACUAGGUGUGGGGACCAUUCCACGGUUUCCGCGCCGCAGCUAACGCAUUAAGUGCCCCGCCUGGGGAGUACGGCCGCAAGGCUAAAACUCAAAGGAAUUGACGGGGGCCCGCACAAGCGGCGGAGCAUGCGGAUUAAUUCGAUGCAACGCGAAGAACCUUACCAAGGCUUGACAUGUUCUCGAUCGCCGUAGAGAUACGGUUUCCCCUUUGGGGCGGGUUCACAGGUGGUGCAUGGUUGUCGUCAGCUCGUGUCGUGAGAUGUUGGGUUAAGUCCCGCAACGAGCGCAACCCUCGUUCCAUGUUGCCAGCACGUCGUGGUGGGGACUCAUGGGAGACUGCCGGGGUCAACUCGGAGGAAGGUGAGGACGACGUCAAAUCAUCAUGCCCCUUAUGUCUUGGGCUUCACGCAUGCUACAAUGGCCGGUACAAUGGGUUGCGAUACUGUGAGGUGGAGCUAAUCCCAAAAAGCCGGUCUCAGUUCGGAUUGGGGUCUGCAACUCGACCCCAUGAAGUCGGAKUCGCUAGUAAUCGCAGAUCAGCAACGCUGCGGUGAAUACGUUCCCGGGCCUUGUACACACCGCCCGUCAAGUCACGAAAGUUGKUAACACCCGAAGCCGGUGGCCUAACCCUUGUGGGGGGAGCCGUCGAAGGUGGGACCAGCGAUUGGGACUA